rnacentral:rRNA from 1 species
AUGGGGGAACCGACCCCCAUGGAGACCGGAGACGGGGGCCAUGUCCAAUUUGGCCCCCAACCAAAUGUCAUUCCGGAUAACCACACGGCUCCGGAGACAGAUGAGCAGCCUCCUUCGAAAGAAGGGGGCGUGCCCACCCCACCGGCGACCUCCGUCAAUCCGAAGGCGCCGGACACUCUGGUGGGAGCGCUUCAGAGCGCCACCAUUGUGGAAGAACAUCGUACCCUUAUGGGUACGGUGAUUGAAAAGGUUCAGUCCGCAAAAAGCGGGUUGAACGAGGCCUACACUAGCCUUCUGAGAGGCUUUGAGGCUGUGAUGCAGGCGUCAGCUUCCCAUGCCGCCGAAGCGUCCGAGCUAAGGCAGAAGUUAGAGGAAAAGCAAGCUGACGCUUCGGAGGUCGAAGCCCUCAAGAACGCGCUGGCCGAAGCCAAGAAGGAGGCGGAAGAGGAACGAGCCGCCCGCCUGAAACAUGAAUCAAGGGUGGGGGAAGUCCAGCAAGAGCUCAAGGAUGCGAUAGGCAAAUGUGAGUCCUUAGAGCGCAAGAUUUCGGAUCAAAAGUCCAAACUUGCUAAGGCCCUCCAAAGUGCACAGGAAGCCCGGACCGAAGCCCAAAGCGCCUGCCAGGAGAUCCAAGAGGCGAAGCAGAUUGCGGCGGGAGCGUUUGCGGACCUGCCCCGGAGUAUUGCUGAUGCUGCGGAGUUCUUCCGAGCCGAAGAGGGGAGCGCGACGGAAAAGCUGUUCUGGUCGCAGUACCUCGCGCCAGAGCAUCCCGUGCCCCUCAGCGAUCAACUUAAGCAAUUGACCGAACUGCAUAGGAUGGUCGGAUUGGCCAUGAGGGAUGUUAUAAUCCGUCUUUGGCCCGCCGAACCCAUACCCAGCAGCUAUUUCGGGCUCGUGAAGCGGCUGGCCAAUGCCUGCCCCCGGCUCGAUGUCGUGAAGCGGUCGGUCUGCAUCGAAGGUGCACGGAUGGCCUUCGCCCGUGUCAAAGUGCAGUGGGUGAAGAUGAACGUCGUCAAGCUUGCCACCGAGGGACCGCCCACGGGCAAAGAGCACCGCAAGCCGGAGCAGUAUUUUGACGACGUCCUCGAAGGAUCCCGCAUUGUAGAGGGCCAGUGCUCAAAGGACAUUAUUUUUGAAUGA